rnacentral:tRNA from 2 species
GCCGGACUAGCUCAAUUGGCAGAGCAGUUGACUCUUAAUCAAUUGGUUCUGGGUUCGAGUCCCAGGUCCGGUACCA